GGUGCUAUAGUGUAGUGGUCAUCACUCGGGAUUUUGACUUGCCACUGAUGUGAUUUUCCCGAAACCCAGGUUCGAACCCUGGUAGCACCU
rfam:Dichomitus squalens LYAD-421 SS1 unplaced genomic scaffold DICSQscaffold_45, whole genome shotgun sequence.